GUCCUGGCUGGUGUGAUCGCCGGGCUUGAAACCGGCAGCCGUCUCGGG
rnacentral:tRNA from 11 species